UAUUAAAAAAUUUCAUCUAUUUGUUAUGAUAAAAACCGAUGUGCCUGACAAAAGAACCAGAUGGUGACACGUGGCAUGCCACGUGUACCUCAUGCUGAUGCGCAUGAACCAAUUUUUAAAAGUAGAAAUAGAUAAAAUUUUUAACA
rnacentral:pre_miRNA from 1 species